rnacentral:rRNA from 1 species
GAUGAACGCUAGCGGCAGGCUUAACACAUGCAAGUCGAGGGGUAUUGGUUUUCGGACCAAGAGACCGGCGCACGGGUGCGUAACGCGUAUGCAAUCUACCUUUUGCAGAGGGAUAGCCCCAGAGAAAUUUGGAUUAAUACCUCAUAGUAUAGUACUUUGGCAUCAAGGAACUAUUAAAGUCACAACGGCAAAAGAUGAGCAUGCGUCCCAUUAGCUAGUUGGUAAGGUAACGGCUUACCAAGGCUACGAUGGGUAGGGGUCCUGAGAGGGAGAUCCCCCACACUGGUACUGAGACACGGACCAGACUCCUACGGGAGGCAGCAGUGAGGAAUAUUGGACAAUGGGCGGCAAGCCUGAUCCAGCCAUGCCGCGUGCAGGAUGACGGUCCUAUGGAUUGUAAACUGCUUUUAUACA